rnacentral:tRNA from 1 species
GGCCCCUUAGCUCAGUGGUUAGAGCAGGCGACUCAUAAUCGCUUGGUCGCUGGUUCAAGUCCAGCAGGGGGCCACCA